UACGUAGGGUGCAAGCGUUAUCCGGAUUCACUGGGUUUAAAGGGUGCGUAGGUGGGUUGGUAAGUCCGUGGUGAAAUCUCCAAGCUUAACUUGGAAACUGCCGUGGAUACUAUCAAUCUUGAAUCUCGUGGAGGUAAGCGGAAUAUGUCAUGUAGCGGUGAAAUGCUUAGAUAUGACAUAGAACACCAAUUGCGUAGGCAGCUUACUACACGAUCAUUGACGCUGAGGCACGAAAGCGUGGGGAUCAAACAGG
rnacentral:rRNA from 1 species